UGAUUGUUGAGAGGCAUGGAUCCUUGUUAGUAUUCAUGUAUCCACCACCACAGAUAUCAGGCCUUGGAAAGUCUUUGGGAUUUUCUUUUCAAAGAAGAACGAUUUCUUUUACCAGACACUGCAAGGACCCAGGUCAUGAACCAAGUAAGUUUACAAACAAAUGAUCUCCACAGUUCACAUGUGCUUGUGUAAGGAGACAUAAACUAAAUCCACAUCUCUUGUGUUUUUCACAGGCCUCUGAAUGUCAGAGUGCCCUGUACAAAGUACUCAGGUGGAUCCCUACAGAUACCCACAUAAAUGAGGGCCUCAGCCCAGCAACUGACAAGGUCCCAAUCUCCAUGUGCAUAGGUUGCCUUCACCAGAAUACAGGGACAGAAAGAAGACUAUGGCUGAAACCUCAUGGAAAUGUCAGAGAGCUCUUGGCAACUUUGACUUUGUCUGCUGUUUGACAUAUGUGUGACAGGGAAGGUCAAACAAAAGAGUCUUGCCACUAGCAACCAGUAAGUGAUGAAUUUUCAAGGCAAACAGUGGGCCCCUAAGGCAUUUUCCAUUAUUGGUGUUGUAUAUGGAGGGGUAGGACCUCUUGUUAAUAUAUAGGUUUCCACUACUAUGUAUAUUGACUUUUGCAAUUCCUGCAGGUUUCCAAUCAAGGGAAUAAGAUUUCUCAUUUGUGGUUUUUUCCAUGGAGCUCUUCAAUGAUCUAGG
rnacentral:lncRNA from 1 species